AGAUAGUUGGUUGAGUGGUUUAAAGCGUGAAUUUUGAAAGUUCAAACGCAAAAGCGUCGUGAGUUCAAAUCUCACACUAUCAU
rnacentral:tRNA from 1 species